UCAAGACGGAGCUGAAAGAGAAGAACCUGGGCUAAGGGAAGAAGCCAGGGGAAGCUGCACGAGGCAGCAGAGACCCGUGCUGAACAGCAGGACUGACACUAGUCAGAAAAACACCGUGUGUGGUUGGUACCCAGGAAGCCCUGUGUUGUCCCCAUUUCACAGAGCAAGGAACCGAGGCCCAGGGAGGUUGAAAAGCCACUCAAGGCCACGUGGAGCCUCAGUGAUAUUUCUGCGGCUUCAGGAGGGAGCCUUCUCUGGGUCAUUAGAGGCCUUAAGAUUUUUCAGCAGGGUGUUCUCCAGUUUGUGGAUAAGCAGGUGCAGAAGAUGGCCACCAUGGCCAAGAGAUUAGCUGCAGAGGGAUGGGACUGGGAUCCUACCUAACCCAUCCUGCAGGAGGAUACCAUCCUGCCAGUCUGAGCCUGUUCAUGCCCCUCCCUGAAGCUCUGCCCUUGUCCUUGCCCAGGGACCUUGGGAAAGGACCUCUGCUCCCGCUGCGUCAGCUGAGACUCGCCACCAUGCUAAGGCAUACUUCAGGGUUGGAAUCCAGUGCAGGCCCAGCGUAGGCAGGGGAACGCCGUGCCUCCGCCCCGAGGCUGCCCAAAUCCCCGCUUCCACAACUCAAAUGAGGGCGAUUCUCCAAGCUCAGGGACCACACACCUGGACUUGGUACUCCAGGUUUGAAAGUGCUGAUUCUGGAGCUUUUGCAGGUUUGAAUGGAUGUUAAACCGGUCUGUGUCUCAGCUGGUUUAUAUCCCGCUGAGAUGCAGGCUCUCACUGGAAAGGGAAACCCAGACAGAAGGAGCAACACCAACAGCCUUGGACUGUAUGGGUCUGGGUGGCUCAGGGUCUGGGAGGAACAGGACCCACCUGGCUUAGGCUAUUCAUCUCCCUCUGUGACUGGCGGCUUGGUGGCCACCCAGGGGCUCCCCACUCCCUCAGCAGCUCCAGUAAGGGGCCUCCCUGACAGCUCUGGGGCUAGCCCUGGGUUUUCCCUUUGCCGCCCAUGCAUGCCCUGCCACCCUGCCCCUUAUCAUUGCCAGAUAUAGGAGUGCCUGAAACUUGCACAGACACACUUGGGCUCCUGGGGACCUCUCUCUCCUAGGGGCGUUGCAGGCACUGGGGGUGGUAGGUUGCUGGGAGACACUGUUGUUGCCAAGGAGACAUUGGAUCACAAGCUCCCCUGGUGAGCCCGAGACCCAUGCUGUACGAGGGCAAGCAAUGGGGAGGAGUGGGCCUGACCAGGUAGAGAAGACUCUCACGUCUACUCCCGAGUCCCCACCGUUUGGAAGCCUCUCUGCUGGGAUAGGAAAAACGACUAGAAGCCCACCUGCUCCUCCAGGCAGUGAUCACAGGGGGCUCUCAGGAGAGAAGGCAAAGGGCACAGGCACUUUCCCCUUCAACCCCAGCCACCCAGAAAUCCCAGGAAGCUGGGGAAAGGCAUCCUCACAGGGAAGCAGAUGUUUCAGGGAUACAGAGGCAGGGUGAUUCCGUGCCUCCCGUGGGCUUAGGAACCGAGGAUGGAGCCUAGGCCACUAAGUCUCCCUUGCUCUUCCUCUUGGUAACUCAGCUCCCUGGUGACCAGAAGGGAUCUCUCCUCUAGGCAGCUGUAGAGUGGGGGCUGAGGAGCAGGGAGCAGGACGUGCCCUGGGCACAGCAACUAGAAGCCACAGCUCCGCCCGCCUCCCUGGAGAGGCCCUGACAUUGGCAGUGUGUGAGUGAGUAAGGUCUGGCACGCUGCCACAGGAUGGGGCACAGAGGUCAGAGAGGGAGGGGGAAGGGGUGGCUGUAGGAGUGAUCUUGGGACAGGCUGCUUGCUAGGUGCAGUUGGACUUGUUCUGCCUAGGCCUUAGCAAUUUCGCCCCCAACAAUGGUAGGUAAGGUUGGGUCCUGGUGGGCCUUUUUAACAGGACGCUUGCCCAGGGCUGACCAGGGCAGGGGAGCUACGCAUUGUUAGAGCUGAAUGCACUUGCUCACCUACUUCUCUACCAAGCUGGUCUGGGGGCUGGCAGAGGCCACUAUGGGAGGGGCCCUCCUUGUCCUGACAGGUAGCCUCAGACUGUGAGUCCUAUCAAGAAAUCACAGCAAGCUCUUGGCACAGAUGUCCUGGAUGCCAGAGGCCCUGGCCUCUCAAAAGCUGGGUGGAGAGAAGUCAGGAGAACCCUCCUCUCUGAGACACUCAGCGGUUUCCAGGUGGCUGAGAGUCACUUAGAUAAAAUACAAAUCCCUUGUAGCAGGCUGGGAAACAGAAACUGAAUAGAAUGCUCUCAGAUGGCAUUGGGGAUAUGGGUUUGGGCAGGAUCGUCUCCUCGAGACCUUCUCUUCUUCUGACAGAGCUGGGGUCAGAACCCAGGGCCUCCCGCAUGCUAGGCAAUGGUCACUCUCUGGGCUACACCAAAGUCAACUCCGGGGUCAGCAUGACAGUCUCCGACCAGGAAGGAAGGAUGUCCUGGUAGCAUUUGCUGAGACAUGGAACAGGCAUUCCAGACGUGCCACAGGCUGAGCUGAGCUGCCAGUGCGGAAACUGGCCUGCCCCGUGAGUUACCGUCCAGCGUCAUCCUCGAGCACCUGCCACCCGCGCUGGGGACUCCCUGCAAGCAAACUAAAGAAGAAAGAGCCCUGCUGUCCUGCAAGCAAAAGUAACCAUGCCCUCUUUCCGGGGUGAAGCACUCUGGAGAGGCCAGUUGGCUGCUUGUCUCAGCCCCUCCUCCAGUUAGAUCCCAGAGCCAAUCAAGGCUCCAAACGGCCAAAAUGCACUGUGCCAAAUCACCACAUAGCCACCAAUCACCGUCACCAGCUAAUAUGGGGGUUCACAAAACGUGUGCAGUCUCAAAAGGCUUUUGUGUGGCAGGAAAACGCCCAGUGAAGCAGAUCCACAGAGAGAAAAUAGUUGGGGUUUGCCCCAAGGGCCUAGGAAAAGCAGGGGGGGGCACAGAAUGACUGCUCACGGGCAUAGGGGUGGUUGGGAGAGAAAUUAGAAUGCUGUGGAAUUAGAUUACGGAGGUGCUGUGCAACUGAAGAUUUACUAAAAACAAUCGAAUUUUUUUCUCUCUCUUUCUAGAAAAAGAUUUACAGUCUGCUGUUAUAUCUCAAUGCAGCUGUUGCAUGUUUUAAGUGUCCUGGGGAAAUGUUGCUAGGGUUAUCAUCACUGGGUGCACGUUUACACGUCAGCCUCAUUAAAAAUGUGCACAGAUGUGCAUCGUAAAAAGGCCAGCAGGAAAUAUACCGGACGCUAGCACCAGCUUUGUGUGGGUAAAAGAAUCGCAGAGCAUUUUAUGUGCAAACAGCCAGGGGGCAGGAUCCACUCGAAGUCCAUUGGUUAUGGUGACGUCCAAGGCCAAGCCCCUGGACCAGCCCCUCUCUGCCCGAGGCCAGCCCUGUGAGUCACAGCAGAGGCAUCAGGCGGCCAGGGGUCAGCUCCUCCCUGGGGAGGGAAUGUUGUGGAGCCGGCAGGGCAGGCAGGGCAGCAAGCAGGGUAGAUGUGGUGGGCAGGCUGCCCGUGGGCUCCACCACAGCCAGCUACCUCAAGGAAGGUGGGCAGGAGAAGAGCAAUAAUUACCCCGCUGGGAGGAGCUUGGCACCCGCCUUCAUUCCCAAGCAGGGAGGUGACCUGCCCUGGUAGACUGGCCAGCAGCAACCUCGGCAAGGUAGCAUGUGACUGGCCAGGUAGCAGUACUGACCUAGGAAGAAGACCAUCAGGGUUUGCAGGAGGAACUAGGCCUACUCGUGCCCUGGGCCUUUGGCAAGCCCUCGGUCGCUGCUCCUAGCUUCCUAUCUGUUCCGACCUGCUUCCUGUGUAUCCAGCUCUACCCAGAGGACAUCCCAGAACACUCUAGGGACAGCAAGCCCUUUCCCCUUCCCUCCCUGCCCCCGCCGCCUCUUUCUUCUGCCUCCACACUGGCCUUUGACCUGGCCCUUAACCCUCUCGGCUUCUUCUGCCUUUCACUGUAGCCUCCCUGACCCGCCACCUAAACACCACACACACACAAACACACACACACAUACACACACACACUGGCUUUAUAGAUACAGUGGACAAGUGAAUGGAUGUAGGAUGUGAGAUGGAGUCCUGCAGGUCACCCCUGCUGGCAGAAGGCACUGGUGGCCUUGUAAGGAAAGGUACAAGGGGUAGAGAUCACCAUGGCCAUUGCUGUCUGAGUCACUUGGUUAUUCCUGGCCAUGGGAGCCAUUUGAAGUUGGAACUGAGAAUGGGAGACAUAGAGCCAGGUCGGGGGGUAGGGAGAGCUUGAAAGGGAAUGUGGUAUGAACCCCUAGCAAAGGAAGAUGUCAGAGGCUGGGGCAGGGUUCCCAGAAAGCAAGCAGGCUAGCCCCAGAGUCAGUGCAUAGACCUCCGGGCGCAGUGCUUGUAGCUAGGAGGCUAAGGGGAACCUAGGGCUGGGGCCUCUUUAUCACACUGCCAGCCUCCAAAUCAGGGACAACUGUGGGCAGUGGUGCAGAGAGGCCCGACGCCUGAAGCCACUCAACACCCAUACAGCCACCAGUGAGCCCCUCCUCAGUCCCCUGGUGCACAGGCAGCUGGAUGUGACCGUGAAUAAGAGCCAUUGAUUAGUCUGUCACACGAAGACACUACCAGCAGCAUCCCAGCCAGCAGGGAAGAGGAACAGUUCUGCCGUCCCCAGAGCCCAAAGGAGCCCAGCAGAUCACAGACGUGGCCAGGGGUAUGCACUGGCUCAGGGGAGCUGUGUGGCCUCAAGGACGUUACCUCCCAUCUCUGAUCCUGUAAGAUGUGGUUAAAAACACCGAUGUCUCGGGGUCGUGUAGGGCUUAACAGGGUGAAGGACAGUGAAGAAUGGAGGUGCACUGCUGUGCUUGGCGGCCCACACCCAACUGCUCAGGAGGCUGAGGCAGGACAAAGCCUUAGAGGCCAGCGUCUUGAAGCAGCACAAUGAGAUUCCUCCAGUCUGUCUCAAAUACAUAAAUAGAUGAAUAAAAUGUAAAAUGACCAGCUGCUGGGAGAGGGAAGUGACUGAAGCAUCUCAAGGGCUUCUGGCAGAGGACCUAAGGCAUGAACUACAUCAAGGGUUCUGCCAUUUCCCUGAAGAGCCUCCCUUGGCAAGACGUGAGGACUCACAACAUUGUCCCAGCUCACUUCAGAGAUGCCCGCAGACAACUACCUCAGCAACACGAUUAGCCUCCAGGAUUCUGAAUGGGUUGCUCACCCACCGACUGAUGCAUGCUCAGACCCUCAGGAAGGAGGAGAGAGAUCUUCAUGGGCAUCCUUUGUUACGGAGCUGUCAUGAGGCCAUCUAGGAUUCAGGAUGAGCACUAACUUUAAUGACCAGUGUCCUUGUGAAUAAGAAUAGGACACAGACACAGAGGUGACACACCUGGACAAGGCAGAAGCUAGAGUGGUCAAAAGCCAAGGAACACCUGUGCUAGCUCCCGAGCUAGUAGGAGUGGGGCUGGCUAAGAGAAGCAGAGAGCCCGGUAUUCAGGCUGGGAGUGGGGGCCUGAGAGCCAGGCAGCCAGCUGGCCACACAGUGAUGUGGUGAGAGCCAAUUGCAAAGGCCUCCAGCCUCAGAGAGCAGGAAGGUGUCAGAGGCUGGGCCGAGGGGUUCCAGAAAGCAGAUGGGCUAGCCCCAUGGGACCUGUAGACAUCUUGUUUUUCACGCUCUAGCAUAUACAGCCAGGGGAUGGCUUGUCUGUGGUUUCAAGCUUCCUUGUUUAUAUGGCAGUUGCAACAGGAGAAUUUCAACAGCGAAGAGGCUGGCGACCCAGUCCUCUGAGCCUGCUGGCCACCUUCCUCAUAAAUGCUGUCCUUGGCAACCCAGGAGGAUUAUGGGUGAUGGUUGGCAAAGGAAGAGGGCCUCCUAUGCCCAGCUGUAGGGCAGUCUUCCUGGGAAGGUGUUUAGGAGUCCAGGAGAAAGUAGGAAGAUGGAGUGGUGUUCUAGAACAUAUGCCUCAAAGCUGGCAUCAAACCUUUGCUGGAGGAAGGUGAGGCAGGCAGAGGACUGGAACUGCAGAAGGCCAGCCAUGCAUCUCAGCAUCUCCUUAGGCUGGGUACCCCAAGUGUCCCCAUGGGUUUAUCAUGUGGAGACCAAUCAAGGGAACAGAGCGGGGUAGAGAUGUGGCACACAUCAGAGGGGUCAGUCAUUUUUGGGAAAGUCUCACUGCUUUAUGGACAGUAGAGAUUGUUGUUCUGUUGGGUCAUCUCAGUUUUUUUGGGGGACCACCCUAGAAACCUUUCCAAGUACCAGAGACAAGCAGCCAGUGCCCCAAGGGUCUUGUACCAACCAUAUUGAAAACGUCCUUGUUUGAAGCAGGUAAACCCCCUUGUUGGCUUGGGGCAGUUCUCAAAAAAGGCAGCCACUUAAGACAGCAGGAACAAUGACCAACACCACGGGCGAGGUUGGAGAUCAAGAGGUAUAGCAAAGAAAAUCUGGGUGUGCUGACACUUAAACAACAAAACAACUUCCUCCUCCUCCUCCUCCUCCUCCUCCUCCA